CUCCACUGGGCUAAUUGUGUAACCACCAGGCCAGAAGGACACACCGGGGGAGAGGAGAGCAAGAGGGAGGCCCCGACACCGGCCCCAUGUGUCAUCCGGCCGACACUACCGAAGAUUACAUCACCGUGUCCUCCACAUGCCUCAGGCUGGACCCGCCGUGCAGGGAAUGCAGCUCCAACACGUUGUUCUUUUAUUCCUCUGCAGAGUGAAGAAACUUACCAUCUUACAUACUGCAUGCUUAUUAAAAUAAGAAAUAAUGAUUUGUCAAUAUUCUGUGACAGUAACACAAGCAAAGAAGAUGAAGAUGAUGAGGUAAUGUCAGCUACAAGGCCCCAUGCCUGAGCUAACGUUAGCCAUGAGCUACCGGUCAUACCUGACCCAGUUCGUCAUGGCAACGAAACCCACAGUGUGUUGAAUUGAGCAAUCAUGGGUUUUAUUCUUCAUGAAAUACCUUUUUAACCUAUAGGUGGAAGAAUGUUUCUUACAAAAGUGACAGUCACCCUUUAAAAAAAAGAAUAAAAUUCCCAAAUCAUAAACAUGUGUGUCAUAUCUAAGAUUGUAAACACAUUUAAUUCCGGUCUCAAUGUGAGAGAUAAAUAUGUCUUUUGAGAAUGUG